rnacentral:tRNA from 1 species
GCAGUGGUGGGUCAGUGGUAGAAUUCUCGCCUUCCGUGCAGGAGACCUGGGUUUGAUUCCCGGCCAAUGCA